rnacentral:lncRNA from 1 species
GGCUAACCAAAAGAGAUAAAUAUCAACUAGUAAUGAGUGCAUGUCUGCUGUGUUGAAAAAUAUCCAUGAGUGAUUAGCUAUGCCUUCCACACUCAUGGAGGGAGGAGUGACACCUGCCAGGUAUUUGCAUUCCUGGUCUAAAUUGUUUGGACUUGGGUUAUCUUCAUAGCUCUACUGCGGAAAGAGGCAGCAUCUCUAACCCUUUAACCAGAGCCAAGGGAGGAUCUUGGCAGUGUCAGAAGGGUCAUUUCCAGCUUCAGAUUAUAGCUAUGGCUUAAGAGGUAUGAACAAUUCAGCCUCCGCCCUUGGCAAUAUCUCGAACUGAAGGAUCAAUAGUUUUUUUAUUUUGUUUUCUCUUUCCUCUGCUGAAUCAUCAGUGGUGAGAAUGAAAAAGUGCUGGAAUUCUUGAUCUUAGGAAUCCGGGACCCACCUCAUGAAGACAGCCACCUUGAAAUGAACUCAGGGGAAAACAGAACUAAAAUUAAGAGAGAAUGAGCUUGGACAACAGUCGCUGACUCCUGAAUUUAGCAAUGCUUGAAGGCAGCUGCCCCUUGGACAAGCCAGUUAUGUCUUCCAACAUUAUCUUUUACUGCUGGUGGUAAUUUGAUAUGGGUUCUUUCAUUAAAGGGAGUCCUGGCUCAUAGGGACCUUUUUGCUAAAACCUCCCUGGCUCAUAGGGACCUUUCCAGCCAUCUGCUCUGGGAGUCUUAAAAUUGUAAAAUGAACUGGGAAGGCCCAUCAACAACCAAGCAGGAAAGAGAAGAGGGACUUUUCAAAAUCUCAGUUCAGAGGCCUCCACUGAGCUUUCCCAUUGGCCAGAAGCAGGGAGGCUGGUAUUGUCCACCUAUCCCCUGCCCCUACCAAAGUGCUAUAUACUCUUUCAACCAUUUAUUGAGCACCUAGUAUUUGCCAAGCCAUGUGCCUUGACCUAGAAGGAAGGGAAGAGUGGAUACGUGUUCCAUUGUACAGUACAUGACCAGUGUGCGUGCUGUGGGCACCUGCAUACCAUAUUUCAUGCCAUCCUUAUAACAGCCCAAAGAAACAGGAUCGUUAUUUCCAUCUUGCACAUAAGAAAUCAUCAGCAAUAGAGCUGAAGAGGGUUAAGUGAGUAGCUGGGACUGCAGGUGCAUGCCACCACACCCAGCUAAUUUUAUUUUUAUUUUUUGUAGGGAUGGGGUUUCAUCAUGUUGCCCAGGCUGGUCUCAAACUCCUGAGUUCAAGUGAUCCACCCGCCUCGGCCUGCCAAGGUGUUGGGAUGACAAGUGUGAAUCACUGAACCUAGCUGGAGUUUUUGUUAUAGGAUAUUGUGUGGCAGAGCCUGGGACAUGAGCUCGAGACCUGGGACUGAGGAGGAGAGAAAGGAAGAGAGAGGGAGGGAGGGAGGGAAGUCAGGGAGAGAUACAGGGAGAGUGCAAAGAGAGAUGCAAAGAAUAGAAACAAAAAGAAAGGAGGCUUUCUUAGUGACUUUAACUGUGACAUUCAACCCAAGAAAAGAAAGAAAAUUAAUGCCUUCAGUUUGGAGACUUUGACAGAUUCCGUGCCAGAGCUUAAGCUGACUGAGAGGACGUUUGAACGCUCAUGAAGAGCCCACCCACAGCCUCAAGAUGCACUGGUCUUCAGAGUGCAAUGACGUCUGCACUGGCAUCUCAUCCAUGCUCCUCCAAGAGCUGAACCCAUUAGCUUGGCCAAUCUAUUCCUUCCAGCAACAGCCUGAGAGCCAAUGAAUGACCUAGAAGGCAGACACCCUGGGGGUAUAGCACGAGUCUUCACCAACCUAUUCAGGGCAUCCUGCCAGCUUUGGCUGUCCAGCAGUGCCUGCAUGUUGAGGAUAUAUUGACGCUCCACAGUCACAGCGUGGCAUGAUGGCCCCUGGCGUGACCGUCGUGCUUCCUUUGAAUCAACAUAUUGGUGGUCUAACCAUGACCUGUGUUGACACUAUGGCCACACAGUAGCCUUAGAGGACACUCACAAUGUAAGCAAGCGUGUAUCAAUACUUGGACAGAGGAGGGUGUGGUGUUUGUGUGUGCAUAAAAAGUAUGUGUUAUUGUUGUUUUAUAAAGGGAGUGCUGUUUUGGAGAUUCUUCCAUAUUUGCAGUAAUAAAUCUAUA